CCUCCUCUUCCUCCUCGUCGUCAUCUCUCCUCCCACAAAAGCCGCGCUGCGCCUGACAUGCUGACAGCACCAAGAGGUCUGCUUGGACUGUGGCGCAUCAGGGAGUCUGGCCUGAGUCAUGUUGCAGCCGCCACAAGUUGCCAGCUUGUGAAGCCUCCCUGACAUGGCCAACACUGAUAAAGCUGCCAACGUAGCUCCAUGUGUUGCCGUUUGCCAAAAGCUGUCAUAUGACUCAUUCCCACACACUUCAGUGUUUGCUGCCAUAAAAAGCCAACGCUUUAUUUUGACUAUAUGAAGACAUUCAUCAGUAGGAAGACUCUUUCUGCAACUCAUGAAUCCCUCUGCUCAGAUAAUCAGUUGAUGAUGCCAUGUUGAAACCUUGUGGAUUUAGGCAGCUGUUGUCUGAAAUUUAACUGAAAAUGGAAAUGUGCAAAUAAAAAAUGCUACUAAAGAGAAA